UGGAAGAAGGCUACGUGGCUCGAGAAGUAUUUCUAUCGCAAAAAAAGAGGGAAAACUGUUACUGUGUGUGCGUGAAAUUUACACGCACUGAAGGUGUCCCGAUCUAUGCGUUUUGUAACUUGUCUCUGUUUGCAGUCAAUUGAGGGAAAGUUCAAGAGUUUUGAAGAUUCAGAAUGAAUAAGAACCAUGAGCGGCUUGCUAAUUUGGCUCUGGCAGGCAUAUCAUUUUCAGUCUCAUUGAGUUUAUGUGGUCUCAGGAAAGUGAAACUUACUUUUUUUUUUGUUUGGUUUAUCUACUACUCAAUUGAAGUUGUGAACUUAUUUUGAGGUGAAGGGAGUGUGAUGAUGAACAGCUUGCCUUAACCUCAUUGUUAUUUGGUUUACUGGCUGGUCCUAAAAUCAUCAUGGCCCAUUUUGUAAUUUAUUCCUUCGUCUUGGUUUCGGCAACAACUUGGUCUCUUCUUUUGGCACAUUCUUACCUCAUGCUUUGUUGUUACAGGUGGGAUGUUAUCGCUCUGUCAAGCCUACUCCACCAUCAGUAAGUUGGAUUCUGCUAUUUUACACUUCCAGAGAAACGAUGUUCAGCGAACAUGCCAUGCGGUUUCUAGUGCAAUGUUGCUGUCACUGUUUUUACUUUUCAAAUUUCUUUCGAAAGACCUGGUUAAUGCUGUUUUGACGUGCUAUUUUUUGUACUUGGUAUUGCUGCACUACAGCACUAGUGAAAGUUAUUCAUAUGGACUACAUUGUAUUUAGCUUAGUUAUCUCUUAUGGGUUAUCUGGGCUUUAUUUCUAUUGAUCUUCAUUUGUCUCAACUUUGUAGGGCAACAAUGCUACCUGAUAUUAAAUCCUGCCCCACCCAUGGAAUGAUAAUGUUGUUACAUUGGGUUUCCCAUAUUUCCGGUCAUUUGGUUUAGUUUACGAAAUCACAGGUCAUUGUGGCAAUUCGCGGAACCUUCUUUUGAGCGUGGUAUGCUAAACAGAAGCAUUGGCUGGCUAACAAUAUCUUGGGGCUCGCCUUCUCCAUCCAGGUUAUAACUAUUGAAUCUACGGAAUUGAGCUGGUGCACGUUAGAGCUCUUGAAUCAUUAUAUUUUUUUACCUUAUUCAUACAUAUUUUAUUCAACAUAACAAUUUUAAGGAAUUGAAAUGCUUUCACUUGGCUCAUUCAAUACUGGUGCCAUUCUAUUGGUAAGAAUGAUUUUUUUAUAUUAUGCUCGUCACUUAACUACCUAGUUUCUUAAUUCCAUUGCUUUAUGAGCUGAGACUGAGUUUUUGGAAUUUCUUUUUCUGAUAACUAUUUUCCCUCCAUUUUCUAUUUACUUAAUGCAUAUAUUUUGCCAAUAAUAGGCUGGGCUUUUUGUGUAUGACAAUAUUCUGGGUCUUUUUAACCCCAGUUAUGGUUAGCGUCGCAAAAUCUUUUGAAGCCCCAAUAAAGGUGUAUACUUAAACUCUAUAACCUUUCUCACCUGGUUUGGUCUUGAUGAGUUUACCUUGUUCCUUGUUAAAAUUCAGAAUUUUCUAUAUGAUCAUGCUUUGCUUAUUGCAGCUUUUGUUCCCUACAUCAGAUUCUACUCGCCCAUUUUCAAUGUUAGGACUUGGUGAUACAGUCUUAAGACCAUUCAAGUUAUAUCAAUUUUAUUCUCAUAAUUUAACUGAUUUGUGCACUAGGCAUUCGAUGAAUCAAAUUCAAAGUCUGAAGAGACCGAUGAAAACUCUAACAAGAAAGCAGACUAAGACUCGGUUGGUAGACUGUAGACGAUGUGCAAACUUACAGGAAAUGCCGAGGACAUGUAUGAAGCCUUUUUGUAGUCGAAUAACUUGAAAACCGAUAUUAGAUUUUCAGUCUGAGAAACAGAUUCUGAUGAUGAGUCCUUUUAGAAAUGAUCUAUAUUUGGUUUGGGAACACAAGAAGUUGCGCACCAACAAAACGAGAGGAGACCAUUAUUAUACUGCAUGUCUAUGCUUAUUUGAUUUACUUUCAGUCAUUUUCUUGAAAGCUGGAA